rnacentral:lncRNA from 1 species
AUCAAACCAGUGCUUCACAGGUGUGAGGCAAGCACUCUACUGCUGAGCUACAGCCCAAGCCCCUCCCAGCCCUUUUUAAAGUAUCUUAUUAGAGACAGAGUCUUGCUGAGUUGCUGAGGCUGGGUUUGAACUUGCAAUCCUCCUGCCUCAGCCUCCCGAGUUUCUGGGAUUACAGGCAUGUACCACAAUGCCUGGCUCCCAUUCUUUCUUAAAACCAGUUAAGGCUACUCUGAUCAUAUUUUCACUCUACCACUGUGAGACAAUUACACUUGUCAAGAUUAUCAGUGACCAUAAUAAUUCUAAACUCUCAGUCAAUUCUCAGUUCUUAAUUAUCCAAUUAGUACAUUUGAUCCUUUUCCUUGAAACACUUUCAACCUUGCUUUCCAGGCCCCACACUUUUCUUGGUUCUCCUACUUGACUGAAUGAGUGCUUUUAAAAUUGGAGUCCUUAAACCAAUGACGGGUACAUCAUAUAGGGAUAUAAUAUUGAUACUUUUCAUUCCAUUUUUGUUCUAAAUUAUGAUGUGAUUUUGUUUUUAGUUUUCGGUCAUCAUCCUUCUGUACUACCUUUAUUUUUACAAAUAAACUUGAUACUGUAUCACUUGACAUACUUUCCAGUAACAGAUGUAGUUCUAAAACAGCCUGUUGGAAAGCAGCUGUCAGAGGUACUGGCAGCUAGUAUCUUACAAGCCUUCAGUAACCAUAUACAAAGAUAAGACUUUUAAUUAAUGUUUUCCUCUACCCAAACUUCUUUGUAGAAUUUCUCCUGGACAGGCCUUAUUUUCUGAUUGAAUAGUGUUUUUCUUAAAAAUGUCUUCAUAACUGACAAAGA